rnacentral:rRNA from 1 species
UUGAAAGGGAAACGAUUGAAGUCAGUCGUACCGGCGGGAAAUCAACCUUUCGAGUGGGUUUUUUGGAGUUUUGAAGAGUGUCAAAACCUUUGAGAUUUCAAAAUUUUCGCUCCUUUGGUGUACUUUCUCGUAGGUAGGUUAACAUCGAUUUUGAUCAUCAUAAAAGGACUGGAAGAAUGUAGCUUCGAUCUCGUAUUGAAGUGUUAUAGCCUUUGGUAAAUGUGAUGAUUAGGAUCGAGGAUUGCAACGAAUACCCUUCUGGGCUAUCCGUCUGAUCUCUGAUACGUGGCCUUGGUAUCGAAAGCUUGCUUAUGGUAUUGAGGUAUUACGGUCAAAAGGUUAGAACGGAUUACAUUCGUUAAGGAUGUUGACGUA